AAUCACACCAAACACACACUUAGGUGUGUGUCUGGUCGAUCUCAACAACAGGGCGACACAAGGGUUCCCUCACAAACCCUAGUUCAUGCUAAAUCUCACAAAUUGAAGGUCAAGAUCAAUUCCAAAUCAAAAUCUGAGCACGAAAUAGUGAUCUCCAUUGAAAAGGAGUCAUAAGGCAAGGAAUCCGGAUCCUCAAGCGGACAAGCCGGUGGAGACAUGCGUUGAAAGGAGCGCUCUAAAGGUAAUGCUCGUUUCGUUGUGGAUGUUGAUCAAGCAAGGAAAUCAAGAACCGAACACAAGUUUUGAAUGCUUCCGCGAUAAUCUAAUCUAGU